CGUAGGUGGCGAGCGUUAUCCGGAUUUAUUGGGUUUAAAGGGUGCGUAGGCGGCUUAAUAAGUCGGUGGUUAAAAGUAAGCAGCUUAACUGUUUUACUAUGCCAUCGAUACUGUUGAGCUUGAGAUAUUUGGUAGGCAGCUAGAAUUUCCGGUGUAGCGGUGAAAUGCAUAGAUACCGGAAGGAAUACCAAUUGCGAAGGCAGGUUGCUACGAAUAAACUGACGCUGAUGCACGAAAGCGUGGGGGAUCAAACAGGAUU
rnacentral:rRNA from 1 species